AAAGGAAAAACAAAUAGACAAAACAAGAACACAAAUACACACAUACAUGCGCAUGUGUGUAUAUGUAUUCGUACAUCUUUGAUUGUUUUUGUUCAUUGGGUGCCUUUUGUUUUCAUUUUCUUCCUCU
rnacentral:ribozyme from 1 species